rnacentral:ncRNA from 1 species
AGCAACUAUUCAAACGAGAGCUUUGAAGGCCGAAGUGGAGCAGGGUUCCAUGUGAACAGCAGUUGAACAUGGGUCAGUCGGUCCUAAGCGAUAGGCGAGCGCCGUUCGGAAAGGGCGGGCGAUGGCCUCCGUUGCCCUCGGCCGAUCGAAAGGGAGUCGGGUUCAGAUCCCCGAAUCCGGAGUGGCGGAGACGGGCGCCGCGAGGCGCCCAGUGCGGUGACGCAACCG